GUAGGUGGCAAGCGUUGUCCGGAAUUAUUGGGCGUAAAGCGCGCGCAGGCGGUUCUUUAAGUCUGAUGUGAAAGCCCACGGGCUCAACCGUGGAGGGUCAUUGGAAACUGGAGAACUUGAGUACGGAAGAGGAAAGCGGAAUCCCACGUGUAGCGGUGAAAUGCGUAGAGAUGUGGAGGAACACCAGUGGCGAAGGCGGCUUUCUGGUCUGUAACUGACGCUGAGGCGCGAAAGCGUGGGGAGCAAACAGGAUUAGAUACCCUGGUAGUCCACGCCGUAAACGAUGAGUGCUAAGUGUUAGGGGGUUUCCGCCCCUUAGUGCUGCAGCUAACGCAUUAAGCACUCCGCCUGGGGAGUACGGCCGCAAAGGCUG
rnacentral:rRNA from 1 species